rnacentral:lncRNA from 1 species
UUUAAUAAAUAAUGUUUUAUUAAUAAAUAAAUAAGAUUGAUUACAAAGUAUAUGCUUUAUCAUCAUACAUGAUUAGCUUGUAUGCAUACUACUUUCAAUAUCCCACUUGCACUAAAGUCAAUCACCGUGGUAUCUCAUACCCAUCUUCUCUAAGUGACGAUCGAACUGUUACUGUGUUAACGCUUUAGUAAAUGAAUCUGCAAUAUUGUCGUGAGAAUCCACAGGCUCCAGGGUGAUAUCUU